rnacentral:rRNA from 1 species
AUGACCCAGAUAUAUGAAACAAGAACAAAGUGGGCGAAGCCAUACUUCAAAGGUGUUUUCUGCACCAAGAUGACAAGUACGCAAAGAAGCGAGAGUGCGAACAAGAUGUUGUAGUCCUAUAUGCCGCCGGCGAGCCCGAUGCACGUCUUUGUUAGGCAAUACAUGAGGCUCCAGUUUGACCGCGAGCGGGAGGAAAGCUACAAUAAGAGGACAAUGCUUGUGAGUACAAUUCGUGUUGCAUAA